AGAACAAUUUAUGAUCGAUUUUGAACCGAAAUGUCCAGUAUUUGUGUGUGGUUGCCCCGCGUAGUGUUCUGGAAAACAAUUCGAUGAAACGUGUACAAAGUCUGAAUUGUAUUUGACCGAAAACUGUUUGUCCCGCGACUGUAUAUUGUCGGAAUUCGAAUCGAUAAAAACCGUAUUUGUCCAAAAAGUAUCUAUAACUCUGGAAAAACUAUACGUUCGGAUGGUGUUCUUCCGGUAAAUAAAAACCAAAACUCAGUGACGGAACGAAAAGUAGGUCGUCUAUAGCUUAAAAAAUGAUCAGAAUAUUUUUAAAACUGGACCACGCCUAUAAACGGAUAAUUUCGGUAUUCGGUGAAAAUUUC